rnacentral:pre_miRNA from 1 species
UGAUAUUAUGCCAUGACAUUGUGUCAAUAUGCGAUGAUGUGUUGUGAUGACACAGCGUCAUCACGUGGUGACGCAACAUCAUGACGUAAGACAUCA